CCAAUAGCGUAUAUUAAAGUUGUUGCAGUUAAAAAGCUCGUAGUUGAAUUUCAGGCCUGGCUGGACGGUCCGCCCUUCGGGUGAGUACUGUCUGUGGUCGGGUCCUACCUUCUGGCGAAGCGUCAUGGCCUUAACCGGCCGUGGCGGGGAACCAGGACUUUUACCUUGAAAAAAUUAGAGUGUUUAAAGCAGGCAUUUUGCUCGAAUACAUUAGCAUGGAAUAAUAGAAUAGGACGGCAUGGUUCUAUUUUGUUGGUUUCUAGGAUCACCGUAAUGAUUAAUAGGGAUAGUUGGGGGCAUUAGUAUUCAAUUGUCAGAGGUGAAAUUCUUGGAUUUAUUGAAGACUAACUACUGCGAAAGCAUUUGCCAAGGAUGUUUUCAUUAAUCAAGAACGAAAGUUAGGGGAUCGAAGACGAUCAGAUACCGUCGUAGUCUUAACCAUAAACUAUGCCGACUAGGAAUCGGGCGAUGUUGAAAAAAUGACGCGCUCGGCACCUCAUG
rnacentral:rRNA from 1 species